AAGUGAUGUUUAUUGUCCACUUUGGUUUCAGGGCAAACAUCUUCUCUAGUUUCCUGUCACCAGAUACUUAGGUGGCACAGAUGUCUGCAAGGCCGUUCUUGUGUCCUUGAGCCGCUCUGCCCCAGCACUGCCUGAAGCCCAUCUGUAGCCCAUCUUCCAGUCCCUGAACAAUUAAAGGCCAUAGGCUCAGAGUUGGUUUUGAUCAGUUUCUACCCAUGCAGGCGAGUUUUAUUUUAACGUGACACAAGCUAGAAUCUUCAGAGAGGAGGGAGCCUCAAUAGAAGAGGCUCCUCUGUAAGAUCAGGCUUAUAGGCAAGCCUGUAGGACGUUUUCUUAAUUAGUAAUUUAUGUGGGAGGCCCAGCCCAUUGUGGGUGAUGCCAGCCUUGGGCUGGUGGUCCUGGGUUCUAGAAGAAAUAAAACUCUUUCCCGCCUUGCUUUUGGUCAUGGUGUUUCAUCACAGCAGUAGAACCUAAGUACACACCACAGCCUUUCCCUCUGUCAGGUUCAGGCAAGCGGCGGCACGCCUCAGAGUGAGCAGUUGCUGUGGCUGCUCGCUGAUCUCAUCGAUCUCAUCACCGGACUGCCAUCUGCUAUUGUCCCGAAGCCUGAGACUUGGCCUCCUGCCUCAGAAGUUCCUCUGGCUCCUUCACACCAUCUUCUGUUUACUAGUCUCCAUAGACAACUUUAUUUCUCAUUUGCUUAAGCAACUAGUUUUUUCUUCUUCUCUUUACACUUAGUUCCUAAUCUUCCACCCUUGUAAAAAGCAAUUUUAUGUUUAAAAUGUCUUAUUUCUGUGUAUUAUAAUAAAUUAUAUUAAUAAAAUUGGAUUUUAAAA
ensembl:processed_transcript predicted gene 20627